rnacentral:rRNA from 1 species
GAUGAACGCUGGCGGCGUGCCUAAUACAUGCAAGUCGAGCGAACGGACGAGAAGCUUGCUUCUCUGAUGUUAGCGGCGGACGGGUGAGUAACACGUGGAUAACCUACCUAUAAGACUGGGAUAACUUCGGGAAACCGGAGCUAAUACCGGAUAAUAUUUUGAACCGCAUGGUUCAAAAGUGAAAGACGGUCUUGCUGUCACUUAUAGAUGGAUCCGCGCUGCAUUAGCUAGUUGGUAAGGUAACGGCUUACCAAGGCAACGAUGCAGAGCCGACCUGAGAGGUUGAUCAGCCACACUGGAACUGAGACACGGUCCAGACUCCUACGGGAGGCAGCAGUAGGGAAUCUUCCGCAAUGGGCGAAAGCCUGACGGAGCAACGCCGCGUGAGUGAUGAAGGUCUUCGGAUCGUAAAACUCUUUUAUUAGGAAAGAACAUAUGUGUAAGUAACUGUGCACAUCUUGACGGUACCUAAUCAGAAAGCCACGGCUAACUACGUG